CUUUCAGCUUCUCUCUCCAAUAACCAGGCAUGCAGGCCCCACCCCUGUCCUAGCAAAACCUCAGACAUCUGGGAUCCUCAGCUACCACAACCCUUUGCGAUAGAAAAUUCCUGCUUUACUUCAGAAUGUAACAACCAGGGCCCCUACACCUCCACCCUCACAUCUAGCAGUCUCGGCGCCCAACUCCCGGCACUCAGGUCUUGCUCCCUGGCCUGCCUCUCCUGCACCCCGGGGCCCCGCUUUCCACACAGCCCUGCUCCUCCCGGCCUGGCUGGCUGCCUGCGGGCCUCUCAGAGUCCUUCACCCGUCUCUCCAGUCUCGGAUCCUGACCCGUGGAUCUCAGCCUCCAGCCCUGCUCUAGCCCCGGCCUUGCCCUCGGGCACGGCCCCUUUCCUCUUCAGCCCUGGGGUCCUGCUCCCUGAGCCCGAAUCCUGUCCUCCUUGGAGAUCCCCGAAGAAGGAGUCUCCCAAGACCUCCCAGCUGUGGAGGGAGUCCAAGCCCAGGGGGAACUUGACAUACCACCAGUACAUGCCCCCAGAGCCCAGACAGAGAGCCAGGGCUGGCCCCCAAGCUGAGGGGUCCACCCUAGGUCCUCCGGGGCCACCUCUGUGGGAAGGGACAGACUCACAGCAGCCACAUCCUAGGUAUGACACCCAUUUCCCUUCUCCCGGGACCCAGAAAUCNNNNNNNNNNNNNNNNNNNNNNNNNGUUGUUAGCAGCAAAAUGUUUUAAAAUUUAGGUUUCAGGGCUGGGCACCAUGGUUCAUACCUGCAGUCCCAGCUACUCUGGAGGCGGAGAUAGGAGGAUCACUUGAGCCUGGGGGUUUGAGGUUGCAGUGAGCUAUGAUUGCACCAUUGCACUCCAGCCUGGGCAACAAGCGAGAUCCUUAAAAAAAA
rnacentral:lncRNA from 1 species